rnacentral:lncRNA from 1 species
CACUCCCUCACCCAGGUGACGUGGGAGGGAUCUGAUCAACAGUGUUGCCAGGGGAAUCCCGACGGCAGGGGGCCCUGAUCACCCCCCACGGUGAUCAGGCAGAAACUCACCCCCCAGGAAGGAGAAAGGGCAGCGAGAUGGCACUGCAGGGACGGGUAUCCCUUGGAGUCAUGUGAUCUGGGAGUGUGUCUGGUCCUCUGGGCAACCUGAGGUCAGUAACUUUCUCUUUGGAGCGUCAGAUAUAAGCCAGGAUUUAUGGUUUGGGGAGCCCCUAUGCCCCAGAGGGGCAUCAAGUGAGGACCCAGGGAGGGGUGAGCAUCCUCGACCCCCAGGCUGGGCCCUGCUCUGUGGGAAGGCUUCCUCAUGCCCUGUCCCCACCGCCUAGUAGCCUCUGCCCUCUCCUUCCUGCUCAGGGCUGCAGCCUCCUAGUGAACUUGGAGCUCUGCUCUCCCACACCCCCUGCUGGGAACACCCUUCCUCCCUCCCUUUGCUCCCCUGUUCAUGUCCUUUUUCAGGAUCCUGCCCAGGCACCCCCUUUUCUUGGGGAGCUUCCCAGCCCCAGGGCAAAGCUGGGACUUCUGGUUGGUUUCCCCAGACCACUCAUACUUGCCACUGGCUACUCAUCAUCUGCCCAGUUCAGGGCCUAGUACCCCAAGGCACAAAUAAAUACCCCUAAAGUGUCUUUCUGCUGGUGACAGUAGAACAUCUCAGAGACUCCAUGAGGUUUCGUGGGAAGAGCCCCCAGAAGGAACUGGACUCAGUCCCCACUCCAUCUCUUACUCCAUCACUACAGGGGGAGGGGGUAGUCUUUGGUGAGCCCCUGCAGCCCACCCUUGCUAAGCCUCAGCUUGCUUUCUUCCUUUUUGGACUGAGGGUUGAACCCAGGGGUGUUUUACCACUGAGUUAUAUUCCCGAUCCUUUUUAUUUUUUAUUUUGAGACAGGGUCUCACUAAGUUGUUGAGGUUGACCUCAAACUUGCGAUCUUCCUGCCUCAGCCUCCUGAGUCACUGGGAUUAUAGGCGUAUGCCACCAUGCCUGGUGAGCCUCAGCUUUCUUACUUGCAAAGCCGGGAGGUUGCAAGAUUAGAGUGGGUAAACUGUGCAUGUGGCCCAGUGAGCAGGAGCCACUGAGAUGUAUCUCCAUUUCUGCCAGCAAGUCUAGGGCUCUUUGCAGUGCACUCCCAGGAACUGCAUCCAGGGAUGGUCUGCUGCUGAGAGGUGUAGGCCUAGGUUGGGCCAGGGUGCUGAGGAAGCUGGAGCUGCCCUCCGAAAUGUAUCCCCUAUCCCAAGUCUGGGUGAGCUAGGAGGAAGCCAGCAGAAGGUGGUGAGCUCUGUUGGUUGUUCACCAGAUACCACUGACUUUGAGCAGAAGCAUCAGAUGCUUGGGAGGCCCUGAGGCUGUCUGGGGCAGCCGGGCCUGGCUUGGGCACUGUGUGUUCUGUGUUCUGGGCUUCACAGGCAGGCCAGUGCAGCCCUGGUUCGUGGAAGCCUUGACUGAGAACAGCCUUAAGCUCUGACAAGGCACAUGCUGGGAUCUCAGGAGCCCAGAACCCAUUUUACCGCUUGGAGUGGGUCUAUGGGUCUGUGUGCUUCUGGUCGGUAUUUAAGAAGCUCAUAGUUUGCAUAGAGAAUAUACCAAGAAAAAGUUUGGUAGCUGGGGGUUAGGAGAAGGACUCUAACAUCAGAUGGCCGGUGUAAGUCCUGGCUGCACCCCUCACUAACCCAGUCUCUCCGUGCUGCACCUCUGUAGUGAGACCUAAUAGUUAAUAUGAGAACAAUGCCUGGAGCUCAGCACUGGCCCUUGCCUAGCGGAAGCUAUUAUCUGUGACCUCAAGCAAGUUACUCAGUUUCUCAGUGCCUCAGUUUCCUCAUCUGUGAAAUGGAACUUAUAACAGUAUUCACCUCACAACCUUAUUAUGAAGAUUCAAUGAACUAAUUUUUAGAGUGUGCUUAGAUUCUUAGAACACCACAAGCCCAAAGUGCCGGAUGUUAGCACCUGGCACAUAUUUUGAUCCAGCUAUGAGUGUGGGCAACAGCUGGCAUCUGCUCUCCUCGUCAGCUCCCUGACAUGCUCUACUGAAACAGCUGAGGUCCAGGCCCUGCUGACCUGUCCAUCGGCCAGAUUUGAAUCCCCACUCUACCAUUUCUUAAAACUUAUAAUAAGAGUUACUGUUCGGAAAAUUAAAUGAGAAAAUAAAUGCAAAAGAAUCUAGAAAGAUGCCCAGCAUAGAGUAAAUUUCCGUAAAUUCUCCUCUCACUGUUCCCAAUUCACAGAUGAGGAAAUUGAGGCUUUAGGAGGUUAUGAAACCUGCCUGAGCCUCCACACAUCACCAGUGGCAGAACCAAGACAGGAGCAGUUUCAACCUGAUCUGCUGAUGCCUUCCUGCCACCUUCCUGCCUGGACCCCAAUGCCCUAGGGUCCUGGCUCCUGCGGGGUGCUGGGAAGAGCUGCUUGAAAUUGGAUGGACAGACCAAGAUGACUCAGUCAGGAGGUGCCAGAGACAGCCUGGAACCUAGGGCUCAGCUCUGUGGGACAAGCCGUGCGUGAUGCCAUCAGAUCAAGAGCCUUUGUACAUGGCGGGCUGUGCCCCUCUUGGCCCAAUGGUUUCCUCCAUUCUGAAGCCAGGACACAGGGACUUCCACCAUCAUUCCGAGAGAAGCUGUUGGUCCCACCUUGGUGCCUUAUUUAAUAACUCCUCUGCUGGCCUCUCCCACUUCCCCUCCAAUAUGCUGAGCCCCCAGCCCAGGCACCAUGGGCUCUUCCAUCCUCUACGCAUUGCACAUGCUGUUCCCAGUGGCUGGGAUGCCACUCCAGCUCCUCUGCCUGAUGAGUGUCCUCUCAGCCUUAGACUCCCUCUGUCCUCCUCCAGCUCUUACACAAUUGUCACUCAUUUCAACCCCGUCUUGGUCCCUUCAGUGUCGAGAGGAGAGCACUCGUUUAUCUCCACGCACAUCUCCACUCACCCAGGAGAUCCACUGUCACCCCCCGGGAUGCUUGAGAUCUACUUGUCAC